AUAUUGAGGAACAUACAUACAUAUGUGUAUACAUAUGCAAAUAUAUGUGGGCAUGCGAAUGGAGAAAAGGCAAAACUGUGGUGCUGCUUGUAUAGCACAGCUCGUUCUUGCAAAUGCACAUCAAAUAUUUUUCUGAGUUCAAAUCUUAGCACAGAUGUAGUUUUAUUCCUUUUUUAAUUUUUAUAAACCAUCUUUAUUAAAUUUAUUUUUAUUUAAUCUUCAUUUUUUCCUCAUUAUAGAAGUGUUCUUCAAAACCUAUUAUUUCUUUUUGUUAUUCUAAUUUUCCCUAACACGCAUGCCAAAGAACAUCUGCACAUACAUAUAUUAGCCGUUCCUUUAUAAGGUAGUGAAAGUUUGCUAGGCACCCUUUUAGAGUGGUGUAUUUUUUAAGUUCGAUUAUAAAGAGGAGAGUUCCUUUUUGACGUGGUGUCAUUUAAUUUUCGAAUUUACGAUGUUCUCUUUUAAUAAUUUACAUUUUAGCGCAGCUUACAUUUGCGCCUUCUCUAUUUAUUAACAUUCUCUGCCUUAACAAUAACAUUAACAUUUCCUGUCGCUUUUUCGUUUCAUUUAAUACUGAAAUGACAGGUCAACGAGCACAAAGAAGUUUCACUUAAAAAAAAAAUUAAAUCAAGAAAGAAGUUCCGUUAUGUCUCCGCUGCUUCCUUUGCCUACACAUGAUAAGGUAAAAGUCCCAAUUUAAUGGCUAUACACUUAUCUUUAUUUCUAAUUUAAACAACUUAACACUUAUUACUCGUUAUUGGAGUUUACAACGUAUUGCUUAUAGAUCUUUACUAAGCAGCAAUCUAUGUUAAUUUGAACUGUUUCUGCUGCACAAUCCGACAGCCCUUAUAUAGUAUAUUAUUAACAAAUCUUCGCCACUUGCUAGAGUCAGACCCAUUUAACUGCAGAUGCCCCUCUCUAAUGUGAUCCUGUGUACCAAAUAACAGUCUUAUAUCUUAUUGCGAAGCUUAGUUAUGGCAAUUUAUUUGUUUUUGAUUAAUGGCGUUUUGUGGGCUUGGCAGUGGUCCGAUUACGCCCAUCUGCAAUACCAACCGUCUCACGGUACCAAGAAACAUGUCUACCAAGUUUCAUAAAGAUAUCUCAAUUUUUAAUCAAGUUACAGCUUGCACGGACGGACAGACGGACGGACGGACAGACAGUCACCCGGAUUUCAACUCAUCUCUUCAUCCUGAUCAUUUAUAUAUAUAUAACCCAUAUCUAACUCGAUUAGUUUUAGGUGGUACAAACAACUGUUAGGUGAACAAAACUCAUAUACUCUGUAGCAACAGGUUGCGAGAGUAUAAAAAUAAUUAUUCAAAGUACAAUAGCAUGGUAUUUAAAUAAUUAAUGUAUAUGGUAGUAAUUAAUCUCAAAAUUAAUGGUCAUCAGGUCCAUUUAUAAGUCCCAUUUCUGGCUGCGGGUAAAGGUUUCGUCAACACAUCGGCAAGCAGAGAUUUUGCGGAAAUAUUCCCAAUGAUUAUUAACUUCUUGAUAACUGUUCAGAUUCAAUCACGAGUAAAAUUAUAUUUAAUAUCAAUAUGUUUCUUAAUGUUAAACUUACUUCCUCUCAAUAAAGGGUUCAACCACAUAGCUUCCUUAACUGCUUCAAAUAGAGCCAUAUAUUCUGCUUCUGUAUAUGAAGCAGUAACUGAACUCUGUUUUUGUGAACAACAACAACGAAUUAAACAGGAAUCAAUCAAUCUUUCAGCCCAAUCGGAUAUCUCAAAACUCGUUUAAGGCUUUGUCAUAAAUCUUUAUUGUUGUUGUUUAUGUAUCUACAUAGAAUACUUAUUGCUGUACACAAAUCAGGGCGUGUGCACAACAAACGAUACAUGAAACAACCCAUUAAGUUUCGGAAUGGAGCAUCAUAUGUUAUUUUUAAAAUUAAAGCCUCAAAAUCCAACUGACUUUCAAGUAGGGUACUAAUAAAAUUACGCUCACUCAUAUUGAAUUUGUUUAAUAUAUUCUUAAUAUGUGAUGAUUGACUAAUGUAUAACAUAUUAUCGCGUCUUUAAAUUUUUAUUCUAAUAAAUUGUUUAAUUUCUAAUAAAUCAGUCAUUCUAAAUUUACUCCUAAAAUAUGAUUUAAACUUGCACAUGGCCUUAAAAUUAUCUGUAGAAGCCUUAGGUAUCAGCUGUUUGAGCUUGUCUAGAAUGUAGACGCAAUGGUAUACCUGUAAGUUUUCAAAACCAAUUUGUUUUCUAGUUUGUUCCAAUAUUGUAGGUACUUCGGACCAACAUUGUGAUGCUUUGCUUAAGGCCAUAAAUGGCUUUAUUUAAUUUACAGAUCUUAUUUUCAUUAUGUACAUUUAAAAUGCAUUAUUUAAACACUUAUAAGAUCUUUAAGGAUUCACUACGUCUGAUAUCAUUUUUAAAUUUUAAUUUAAUUUAAUUUAAAUCUGAACUAAAGGAUUCAGAAUCAAUUGACAAUUUACUACAGUUAUGAUUCUUUCACCCGACUGCAUUUAUUAUUUUGAUUUAUCAGAUUCAUCAUCCAUACUUCCAGUAUGGAUAUCCGCAAAUACAUCUUCCUAUUUCCUCAUUCUGGAAAUCCACAAAUAUAUCUUCUGUAUUCUCAUUCUGGAAAUAUUCGUCCCUUAAUACAUUACUUAGGUAUUUAUUAAUCAUAUAUUUCGCAAGUAUAUAAAAAACGCAUCAACACACUCAUGUACGCGUCACACACAUAUGAACACAAACAAUUUUAUUAUUUCUGUCAGUCGUUCAAAUAAAACCCUAAAUGUAUAUUUCUCUUUUUAUAUUUGUAUUUUUUUGAAUUUUCACUUUGCUGUACCAUUCAGUUUAAUAGUCACGAAAGAAGUGAAGUAAUACGGAAUUACCUGAAGCGUAUGAAUAUACAAAAGAAAAUUAAACCAAGAAAGAAUACUCGUUAAUCCUCAAUGCUGCUUUUAUUUACACAUGAUUAGGUCACAAUAUAUACGCAACAAUGUUGCCAUCAAUAAUCAUGUGUUCGCAGCAUUAAAUACCAAAGUAAAUAGGGAUUUCCGUUUUGCUUGAACAUAUUGUAACAGAUUUCCCGAUAAAUCGUCUAUUUUGUAACUCACUCUUGAGUUCGAUCACUGUAUUGUUAAAUAAAAGUAUCAAAUUAAUGGCUAUACACUUAUCUAUAUCUUUCUAAUUCGAGCAACUUUACAACUUUUUACUUACAUCUUAAUUGCUCUUUACACGGCAGCACUCUAAUUAUCUUGUCAUUCGUUUCAGUUUUAAUUUUACCCUGCUUUUUCACCUGUGCUGGUAUACACGCUUUCUGCUCUUUCAAAUUUAAGGAAACUUGUGCUGAUAUACGUGCAUCUUACGCUGCGAAAUGCGCCUAUAACUGCGUUGACAGCCGCGUAUCCAACUGCGUCAACAUUUGUGAUGACGCCAUUUGUGAGGUAAACGCUUGCAAGGCAGCCAAAAUAACAUCUGUUGAACAUUGAGUCUCUUCGUUUUCUUGACUUCUUUAUUUCUAAUCCAAACAACUUAAUGCUUUUCUACUGAUUAUCCGAAAUUACACCUUCUUACUUAUAUCUUGAUUGCUCUUUACACCGCACACUCUAAUUAGAACUGUCCCUGCUACACAAUCCGGCAGCCCUUAUAUAGUAGAUUGUUACCAAAACAUCGCCACUCGAACAUUCUGGCAACUACGAAUUUCGCUAUCUACAAUAGUUUGUUCUGUCAUCCGUGUUUGUCUCAUUAUUAAAAAAAUUUGUGUUUUAUAUGAGUGCCUAUACAAUUUAUCAUCACCGGAUUACAAAAUUGUGUUUAAAAAAACCCAAAUUUGGGAAGAAGUAGCAAAAAUAAUAAAUUUGCCAGAAGACAAUUGUAGGAAAAGAUGGAAAGGACUGCGUGGCACGUACAAAAAACGUAAACGCGCGCAGCUACUGACUUCCGGCAGUGGUGCUCCGAUUCCAUGCAAAACAUGGAAAUAUAUGAAAACAUUAAAUUUUUUGGACGGCUACAUUGAUUCUCGAGAAACCAUCGGCAAUGUGCCUUUUGACGCAAUUAUGGAAGAAAUAGAGUGUUCUACUUCAACAAGUACAAGUACAAGUCCUCCUCCAGAAGGUUAUUACACUCCUCCAAAUGCGCCAAAACAAAAAAAAAAGGAAGGCAGAAAGGGAUGACGUUAAC